rnacentral:rRNA from 1 species
UACGUAGGGUGCAAGCGCUGUCCGGAAUUAUUGGGCGUAAAGAGCUCGUAGGCGGUUUGUCGCGUCUGCUGUGAAAACGCGAGGCUCAACCUCGCGCCUGCAGUGGGUACGGGCAGACUAGAGUGCGGUAGGGGAGAUUGGAAUUCCUGGUGUAGCGGUGGAAUGCGCAGAUAUCAGGAGGAACACCGAUGGCGAAGGCAGAUCUCUGGGCCGUAACUGACGCUGAGGAGCGAAAGCGUGGGGAGCGAACAGG